GUGUGGACUUGCGAUCCGUUUGCUGCUCCGCGCCUACUCUUCUCUUCGUCGCAAGAUAUUCUAUACAUAGUUUCCUCCAAAACGGAUCUGAAGCUGCGGUUUUUAACUAUUUCUUUAGGCAUAAAUAAGAUCUGAUUAUGACGACGCCAAAGAUGAUGUGGUUAAAAAAGGAAAGCAUCACUGAUAUUUCUCAAUAAGUUCCUGAUGAAGUGCUCAGUUGGAAUGCGUCACCCGCAACUGGAGACUCCUCUGAUGACUGACUGCUCUCGCACAACCUUUCAGCAAGGCAACGUCGCCGCGCGCAAUCCAGCAGAGCCCACGCAGUGUGAAACCGGCUGCAAGUUUCACGUCGGCCGACGUAUUUUUUAAAUUUCCUCAUGCUCCUCUUGCCGGAUACUCACCAGGCCCACUCAGUUUUAGAAUGAGUAUAAUUCUGACCACAACGAUGCAAAUUAAAACUAACAAAAUUCCGAAUAAAGUUUUGAUUAUUAAAUCAAGAUAAUUUUUAAUAACUUUAGUGGAUGCGGACUCCUUUUUCACUUUUGUUUCAGGGUAUUGUUAGUAAUGAUUGUUAGGCAUUCUUUGUUAAAAAAAUUCGUGGCAACAGAGAGAAAUUUUGAAUGAUAAUAAAUCAGAUUUCGCCGGAACCGCGAUCAGCAAUCAAGUCGCAUUAUACCAAGUGUUCCGAGUGAAGGACCCGGCUCAAUCGGGUAAAUUCUUUUCUUAUUUCAAGUUGUUGUUAAGUCAUCUCUCGUCUUAUUAUAUUAUUAAUUCAGUUUAAGUUUAAAAUUGAUAAUUGUUAUACUAUGUCAGUAAAUCGUAUUCUUAAUUCGAUUAUGAAUUUUCUUUAUUUAAGGUUUUAUAAGUCACAAUCAACUGAUUAAAGAAGAAUUGCUCAAGA